CUCGUGGAGUCUGUGGAAUCAUAUUUACCAUUUAUAAGAGAUGGUUAUGUAUCAUUGGAAAAAGGUGAAAAGAAAAUACCUGUGAAAGUACUUAGAGACACUGGUGCGUUUAAUUCUUUUAUUCAGGCGGAUGUAUUGCCUCUCCCUGAGCACACAGAGACGGACAACUGUAUUCCGGUGAGGGAUAUGGGUUUGAAUAUUUUGUUGGUUCCUCUCCACAGGGUGUUUUUGGAGUGCCAGCUUUUUUGUGGAGAGGCUUUGUUGGCGGUGCGACCUGCGUUACCUAUUGACGGGGUCUCGGUCAUUUUGGGUAAUGAUCUGGCGGGUUCCAGCAUGUGGGCAGAUGAAUCACCCACACCCUCAGUCGGCAGUGAGCCGGAGUCUCAAAACUUGGAUCGACAAGAGGAGAAUGAGCGUGAAUUGUCGAACGUUUUCACUGCUUGUGCUGUGACUCGAGCUAUGUCGCGCUCUCAAGUGAACGGUGACAAGGACGCGCAAGAGGAAAAUAAAGAUUACAAGUCCUUUUUGCCUCUUGCUGAUUUUCCAUUUCCUGUCACUAGUACUGAUUUGAUAACUGACCAACGUGCAGAUUCCUCAUUAAAAGAAUUAUUUCAACAGGUUCGUCCGGAGGGGGCUGUGUCAGACCACGAAGGUGCGUAUUUUCUUCGAAACUCUGUACUAAUGAGAAGAUGGGUGCCAUAUUUUGGUUCUGUGGAACAUGCGGUGUUUCAAGUGGUAGUUCCCUCUAAAUAUCGUGAGGCACUGUUGAAAGUAGCACAUGAUGAUUCUGGACAUGCUGGUGUAAAAAAAACAUAUGACCGAGUCCUUAGACAUUUUUUUUGGCCUCGUUUGAAGAGGGAUAUUUCCUCCUAUGUUAGGACAUGUCAUGUCUGUCAGCUAACUGCAAAGCCUAACCAACCUUUGAAACCCACUCCUUUAUUACCCAUCCCUGUUGCAACAGAACCGUUUGAGCACCUAAUCAUUGAUUGUGUGGGUCCCUUGCCAAGGUCGCGAUCUGGGGCUUGCUAUUUGUUAACUGUUAUGUGCCAAAGUACUCGAUAUCCGGCGGCUUACCCGUUACGCACGAUAACAGCAAAAUCUGUGGUGCGUGCUCUUUCUCAGUUCAUCUCUGUAUUUGGCAUUCCACAGACUAUUCAGUCGGAUCAAGGUACUAAUUUCUCUUCACGUCUUUUUGGUCAGGUGCUAAAACAGCUUCGUGUUAAACACAACAGAUCUACGGCUUACCAUGCAGAAAGUCAAGGAGCGUUGGAGCGUUUUCAUCAAACUUUAAAGUCAUUGCUCCGUGCUUAUUGUAUAGAACUGGGGAAGGAUUGGGAGGAUGGGUUGCCAUGGUUGAUGUUGGCUGCGCGGGAGGUUACUCAGGAGAGCAUAGGCUUUAGCCCAAAUGAGUUGGUGUUUGGACACACCGUUAAGGGUCCCUUAGCAGCUGUGGCGGCGGAGUGGAAAGAACCAGAACCACCCCAAAAUCUCAUUGACUAUGUGAACGGCUUUAGGCAUAGACUGUAUACAGCGCGGAAUUUGGCUAAGAAAAAAUUGUCUGUUAGCCAACAUAAAAUGAAAUCUUUGUUUGAUCGUCGAGCAGUGGAACGCUCGUUUUUGCCCGGGGAUCAGGUUUUGGCACUGUGUCCCAUUAUUUCAUCUCCUUUUCAAGCGAAGUUUUCCGGCCCGUAUACAGUGUUAAAGCGGCUCUCUGAUCAGAACUACCUCAUUGCAACGCCUGAGCGCAGAAAAACCACGCAGUUGUGCCACGUGAAUUUGCUAAAACCAUACUAUGCGCGAGAUCAGGUAAAAAAAUCUCCCGAGGACAUACACCCUGUUUGUGCGGUUAAUGAGGUUUGUAUGGCCACUUGUUCUAACGAGGAGACUGGUACCUUGGACAGCGCCAUGACACACGGGCGUCUUUCCAACUCGGAGUCGCUGCAGAAAUUGGAUGUGUUAUUAUCACAUCUUUCUGAACAUCGUUCAAAACAGUUGAGUGAGCUGAUUUAUAGCUUCCCGGGUUUGUUUUCUGAUACUCCUGGGCGUACAACUUGGUUGGAACAUGAUAUUGAUGUGGGUCAGGUGAGUCCCAUAAAACAACAUUUUUAUCGGGUAAACAUGGAGAAACGAAAAUGUCUUGAUGCAGAAGUGAAAUAUAUGUUGGAUAAUGGGAUAGCUGAGCCAUCUUCGUCUAGUUGGGCAUCUCCCUGCAUUUUGGUUCCUAAACCGGAUAAUACAUUCCGUUUUUGUUCAGACUAUAGAAAAUUAAAUGCCGUUACAAAGCCUGAUUCAUUUCCACUUCCUAGAAUGGAUGAUUGUGUGGAUCAAGUUGGUUCGGCUAAAUUCGUUAGCAGGUUUGACUUGCUUAAAGGGUACUGGCAAGUUCCUCUGACAAAACGUGCGCAGGAGUUAGCUGCGUUUGUUACUCCUUCUGGGUUGUAUUCAUACACAGUUAUGCCGUUUGGACUUCGGAAUGCACCCGCUACUUUUCAACGAUUAAUGAAUUAUGUGGUGGGUGAUAUGCCAGGUUGCGCGGUGUAUUUAGAUGACGUAGUGAUUUAUUCUGAUACUUGGGAACAACACAUGGAGCGCAUUCACGACUUGUUUACUCGCUUGUCGGUGGCAGGACUUACAAUUAAUCUUGCUAAGUGUGAGUUUGCGAAAGCAACCGUAACAUACCUCGGCCAUGUAGUUGGGCAGGGUCAAGUGCGCCCAGUCGCAGCCAAGGUGCAAGCAGUACUGAACUUUCCUGUUCCUGUUACAAAAAAGGAUCUCAUGCGUUUUCUUGGUCUGGUCAGUUAUUAUCGUUGUUUCUGUAAAAACUUUUCUUCGGUAGUAGCCCCAUUAACCAACUUGCUUUCUAAGGAUGCCAAGUUUGACUGGUCUCCUUCUUGUCAGCAUGCGUUUGAGCAGGUAAAGCAGCUUCUCUGUUGUGCUCCGGUUUUGGCUGCCCCACGCUUGAGUGUUCCUUUUCAGCUCAAUGUGGAUGCCAGUUAUGUGGGUGCAGGUGCAGUUUUGACACAAAUAGAUGACCAGGGAAAUUGCAAGCCAGUCAGUUAUUUUUCAAAAAAAUUUAACAAACAUCAAUUGAAUUACUCUGUGAUCGAAAAGGAGACACUUGCUUUAAUCCUGGCCUUGCAGCACUUUGAUGUUUACUUGGGGGGUGGUGCUCCUAUUGUUGUAUAUACGGAUCAUAAUCCGCUUACAUUUUUGACGACGUUAAAAUGUCCUAAUCAACGUUUGGUUCGUUGGUUGCUCUUUUUGCAGUCUUUUUUUUUGGAUAUACGGUACAUAAAAGGACGAGAUAAUGUAGUUGCUGAUGCGCUUUCUCGUGCCCCUGUAUGGUAAACGACAAUGCAUCUUAGAUUUGGAUGAUUUUUAUUUAUUUAUUUAUUUAUUUAUUUAUUUUUUUGGGUUUCCCUUGUGGGAACCCAUGUUUUGUGGGUGGGGGUGUGACGUCCGUCAGUUAUUGUGUUUUGUCCUGAGGCGGAGCAGAAGGGGCGGGACCAGGAUUCGCCAGGCCCAGCGCGUCCUCGGGAUAUAAGCAGUCUGCUUCAGCGCGUGGGGAAGAGAGGACAGGAGCUGAAUCUGGCUUGGGGCUGAGCCGGCUUCUCCACCCAGCUUGAUUCUACAGAGGGCUUAUCCGUGGAGCAAUGACACCGACCACACGGGGGGAGGGGCACCCGCUUGUCGAUGCUGGUCCUGUUUAUUUGCUUGGAUUGUACAAUAAAGACUGUACUCUUUUAUUGAGG